CCCGGUAGCUAAAUGCGGAAGAGAUAAGUGCUGAAAGCAUCUAAGCACGAAACUUGCCCCGAGAUGAGUUCUCCCUGAGACUUAGAGUCUCCUGAAGGAACGUUGAAGACGACGACGUUGAUAGGCCGGGUGUGUAAGCGCAGCGAUGCGUUGAGCUAACCGGUACUAAUGAACCGUGAGGCUUAACCUUACAACGCCGAAGCUGUU
rnacentral:rRNA from 1 species